GAUGAACGCUGGCGGCGUGCCUAAUACAUGCAAGUCGAGCGAACAGACGAGGAGCUUGCUCCUCUGACGUUAGCGGCGGACGGGUGAGUAACACGUGGAUAACCUACCUAUAAGACUGGGAUAACUUCGGGAAACCGGAGCUAAUACCGGAUAAUAUAUUGAACCGCAUGGUUCAAUAGUUAAAGACGGUUUUGCUGUCACUUAUAGAUGGAUCCGCGCCGCAUUAGCUAGUUGGUAAGGUAACGGCUUACCAAGGCAACGAUGCGUAGCCGACCUGAGCGGGUGAUCGGCCACACUGGAACUGAGACACGGUCCAGACUCCUACGGGAGGCAGCAGUAGGGAAUCUUCCGCAAUGGGCGAAGGCCUGACGGAGCAACGCCGCGUGAGUGAUGAAGGUCUUCGGAUCGUAAAACUCUGUUAUUAGGGAAGAACAAAUGUGUAAGUAACUAUGCACGUCUUGACGGUACCUAAUCAGAAAGCCACGGCUAACUACGUG
rnacentral:rRNA from 1 species